CCUACGGACGGCUGCAGUGAGGAAUAUUGGUCAAUGGGCGCGAGCCUGAACCAGCCAAGUCGCGUGAGGGAAGACGGUCCUAUGGAUUGUAAACCUCUUUUGUCGGAGAACAAAACCCGGGACGUGUCCCGGACUGCGUGUAUCCGAAGAAAAAGCAUCGGCUAACUCCGUGCCAGCAGCCGCGGUAAUACGGAGGAUGCGAGCGUUAUCCGGAUUUAUUGGGUUUAAAGGGUGCGUAGGCGGUCCGUUAAGUCAGCGGUAAAAUUGCGGGGCUCAACCCCGUCGAGCCGUUGAAACUGGCAGACUUGAGUUGGCGAGAAGUACGCGGAAUGCGCGGUGUAGCGGUGAAAUGCAUAGAUAUCGCGCAGAACUCCGAUUGCGAAGGCAGCGUACCGGCGCCAGACUGACGCUGAUGCGCGAAAGCGUGGGGAGCAAACAGGAUUAGAUACCCUUGUAGUC
rnacentral:rRNA from 1 species